rnacentral:sRNA from 10 species
CGGAGUAGUCUAGUAUUUGGUCGUUCAAAAGAUGACUAAGCUUACGACAGACCACUACUUCGACACAUCCACGACACACACUUAAAAUGAAUUUAAGUCAAAUUAAAUACAAUUAAGCAAGAGUGUCUGUCAGGUAUCAGUGAAAGGUGACUACAUAGUAAUGAGCCGUUCAUUGCACAUGAUGACCGCAAGUCUGACUGUAAUCUUACCAAAGACCUCUAUUCCCGCAAGGAAGAGUUGGGGAGGCAUCCUCAAAGAGAGUUGAGUAAUUAGAGAGUAAUUGAUACCUCAAGGAGUGGUGUACCUAAAAGACCGUCAUUGAGAAAUACUUUCCAAAAGAAAGUGGAUAUUAAGGGAAACAAUAAUCCUUAUAAAGGUUCUCACAAAUAGGUGUAAUCUCAGCCU